rnacentral:lncRNA from 1 species
CCGGAGUUCAAGUUGGAAUUAAGGAGGUGAAUGUUGGAUAAUUCCAGUGACUUGAGGAACAAGUUAAGGAGAUCACAAACAAGAUUUAGAUAAGGGGUAGCUUAUUUAGAUAAGACUUUGUGUGUUGUUAUCCUAAUCCAAAUAGAACAAGGAGUUGUCUUAAUUCUAUAUAAGUACAAAGGCCUAUGAAGAGAUAUUUUAUAGAGCUUGAGAAAGAGAUUUAGUUUUUGAGAAGUUUUCUAAGUCUAAUAAUAAGAGACGUGUUCUUAUAUUCAAGUUCUUU